GCCUAUGUAGCUUAGCCUGGUUAGGCGGUGGGUUGCAGACUCACUAAAUGCCGGUUCAAAUCCGGUCAUAGGCU
rnacentral:tRNA from 1 species